AAUCCACGGGUCCGUUUCAGGCCGUUAGUUGAAAACGGGCCGUUACGGGGCCGUGAACGGCCUGUAUACAGGAUGUAGCCCACCCACGUCCUGUAUACAGGCCGUUCUCACAGGCUGUAAACAGGACGUUAGCCCACGUCCUGUUUACAGCCCGUGGAUACGGGCCUGUAUUAGGGCGUAGCACCCACGUCCUGUAUACAGGCUGUUGACAGCUGUAGCUUAUGCGCAUGCGCUAGCUUGGGGCAGGAUGACGUCACCUGACUACAAAAAGAAUGAGACAGACAGAGCUCUGAGAAAAAAUCCUGCUGCUUGUCACAAGAGGAGCUGCUGGUCCAAAAAGACAACUUGAAGAGGACUAUACAGUCCAUUACUAUUAGUCUACCUGUGAACAGAAAAAGGUUUGCACGUUGUUAUGGACUUUUGAAGCUGGAACACUGGCCAAUUUUACAAGGCUCCCAUCUGAAGUUUUUUCACUUUUGAUAAAGAGGUGUUGAAGAAUGCUCCCAGAUAAUGCUGCCGAGUUGAAGUCUGGACUAAUUACACACUAGAUGUUGUCAGAAGAAUGAACUAAAGAUAAAGCAACAGUUUCCUGUUGCGAGAUAUCUUCGAGAUGAAAAAGAGCCCUUGUAAUGUGUACAGCACACUGUAAGCUGUUGACUGACUUCAUAGUACGCCGGUAAGAUUAUUCACAGUGGUGUGUUCUUCUUUUAAUCUUCUAACUCUUCUUCAGAUGUUGCAAAACUCAAGGUUUGUUUAUUGUUUUCAUCUUUAGCACUCGUUACACAUGUUAUUUAAUAGAUUUCUUUAUUGGCAUGCCGAGUUGGAGUCUGGAUGUGUUAGAUUGAAGUUUUUAGACGAAUGAUAAAGAGAAUGCAACAAUUGCCUGUGUACAGCUGGCGAGCUAUCUCGGAGAGGAAGAACGGCCCUUCAAGCUGUUCACUGACUUCAUAGUACGCCGGUAAGCAGUGGUGUAUUUUUUGUAUAAUUCCCAGCCUCUUCUCCUCAGAGUCUAUCUUUGUGCACAAAAACAAGACGAAUAUAAAUACAUGCCACCGUGGGGAUGUGAAGACACGGACAUGAUAAUGAGAGACAUAAUGUAGCUGAACAGAAAUUAAUAUAUAUAUAUAUAUCUUGUUCUUGUCUUCUUUGUCUUUGAA